UUAUUUAAAUUUAGUUAGUUAUAUAAUAUAUUUUAUUUUAGUAAUUUAAUUUUUUAUUUCUUUUAUUUACAUGUAAAUUUUUGUAAAAAAUAUUUUAAUAAUUAACAAACAGUAACUAUAGUUAUUAUUUUUUUAAUGAAAAUUAGAAAUAUAAAUUGAUUUAAAGCUUGACAAAUUUUGUGCCAGCAGUUGCGGUUAUACAAUCGAGCUAAUAAAAUUUUAAAAAUAAAUUAAUUAUACUUUUUACUUGAGGUUAAAAUUAAGAAUUAAAAGGUAAAAUUUAAUUUUUUAAACUUUAUUCUUUGUGUAUAAUUGAGAAACUAAAUAUAAAACCAGGAUUAGAUACCCUGUUAUUGAAGUGUAAAUUUAUUGGAGUAGUAGAAGUUAAGAUCUUAAAACUCAAAAAAUUUGGCGGUAUUUUAUCUUAUUAGAGGAACCUGUUUAUUAAUUGAUAUUCCACAACUUAAAUUUAUCUUUAUGAAGUUAUUUGUAUACCGUUGUCAUGAAUCUACUAAAAAGUGUAUUUUCAAAAUUUUUUAUGUGAGUUAUGUUAGAUCAAGGUGCAGUAUGUAAAGACACAAAAUGGGUUACUUUAUUUAUUAUGAAUGAAUUAGACUACUAAUGUAGUGUGUGAAAUUGGAUUUAUAAGUAAAAAAAUUGUUAAAGAUUUUAGAUGAAUAAAGAUUCUAAAAUAUGUACACAUUGCCCGUCGCUCUUGUUUAAGACAAGAUAAGUCGUAACAUAGUAGAUGUACUGGAAAGUGCCUCUGGAAUUAA
rnacentral:ncRNA from 1 species